UGCGGGGUGGAGCAGCCAGGAAGCUCGUCAGGCUCAUAACCUGAAGGUCACAGGUUCAAAUCCUGUCCCCGCAACCA
rnacentral:tRNA from 1 species